UACGUAGGGUGCAAGCGUUGUUCGGGAUUACUGGGCGUAAAGGGCUCGUAGGCGGCCAACUAAGUCAGACGUGAAAUCCCUCGGCUUAACCGGGGAACUGCGUCUGAUACUGGAUGGCUUGAAUCCGGGAGAGGGAUGCGGAAUUCCACGUGUAGCAGUGAAAUGCGUAGAGAUGUGGAGGAACACCGAUGGCGAAGGCAGCCCCCUGGGCUAACACUGACGCUCAUGCACGAAAGCGUGGGGAGCAAACAGG
rnacentral:rRNA from 1 species